AUUGAACGCUGGCGGCAUGCCUUACACAUGCAAGUCGAACGGCAGCACGGGAGCAAUCCUGGUGGCGAGUGGCGAACGGGUGAGUAAUAUAUCGGAACGUGCCCAGUCGUGGGGAUAACGUAGCGAAAGCUACGCUAAUACCGCAUACGAUCUAAGGAUGAAAGCGGGGGUUCGCAAGACCUCGCGCGAUUGGAGCGGCCGAUAUCAGAUUAGCUAGUUGGUGAGGUAAAGGCUCACCAAGGCGACGAUCUGUAGCUGGUCUGAGAGGACGACCAGCCACACUGGGACUGAGACACGGCCCAGACUCCUACGGGAGGCAGCAGUGGGGAAUUUUGGACAAUGGGCGCAAGCCUGAUCCAGCAAUGCCGCGUGCAGGAUGAAGGCCUUCGG
rnacentral:rRNA from 1 species